AGCCAGACUCCUACGGGAGGCAGCAGUGGGGAAUAUUGCACAAUGGGGGAAACCCUGAUGCAGCGACGCCGCGUGAGCGAUGAAGUAUUUCGGUAUGUAAAGCUCUAUCAGCAGGGAAGAAAAUGACGGUACCUGACUAAGAAGCCCCGGCUAACUACGUGCCAGCAGCCGCGGUAAUACGUAGGGGGCAAGCGUUAUCCGGAUUUACUGGGUGUAAAGGGGGCGCAGACGGCGAUGCAAGCCAGGAGUGAAAGCCCGGGGCCCAACCCCGGGACUGCUCUUGGAACUGCGUGGCUAGAGUGCAGGAGGGGCAGGCGGAAUUCCUGGUGUAGCGGUGAAAUGCGUAGAUAUCAGGAGGAACACCGGUGGCGAAGGCGGCUUACUGGACGGCAACUGACGCUGAGGCUCGAAAGCGUGGGGAGCAAACAGGAUUAGAUACCCCAGUA
rnacentral:rRNA from 1 species